AUUCCAAUCCUCCUCCUAUAUCCGGGCUUGGGACCGGCAAAAGCGACCCCAAACACACUCUGGCGGAGUUACUUAUUCUUGAAAACUGUCAUUUAACUAUUUACUUGGCAGAGUUUUUGGUAAUAAGCCAGGGCAGGAUCAGCCAGUGGUGGCUUCGCGCAUGCGCAAUUCAUUUGCAGUCUGGAUGCGGAAGGGUGAACAACUCCUGCUCUGACUGCAGCUGGGCGGGGCUGCUGCGCGAGGACUGUCCACCUGUGAGCGCCUUGGGACGGGAGGGGAGCCCACGGCAGCACCCGCUGUUCGAGCCAGCAGUGGAUGCAUGCGAACAUGGGAACAAGUAAAAGUGAAGUACAAGAACAUCUUACAAAAUGAGGACAGUGAAGAAACCCUUUCUGACGAGUGUCCGGAGGAAUUACCUGUAAGAAUGUAUGAUACAGGCAGUGACAUCCGUUCUUUGUACCGAAGAAACCUUCAGCUUAAAAAUGACUACUUGGUAUUGAUGAAACGGAGAAUGGAAGCACAAAUUGAAGUGGAUAAUUUAAAAAAACAGAAAUUAUCACUUGAGAUUCAGUUGCUUCAAAAGGAACUUCACAGUAAGUAAUGUGACUUUCACACAUAGUACCCUACUAUUGUUGACCUCUCUCUCUCUCUCUCUUA